rnacentral:rRNA from 1 species
UACGUAGGUGGCAAGCGUUGUCCGGAAUUAUUGGGCGUAAAGCGCGCGCAGGCGGUCCUUUAAGUCUGAUGUGAAAGCCCACGGCUCAACCGUGGAGGGUCAUUGGAAACUGGGGGACUUGAGUGCAGGAGAGAAGAGUGGAAUUCCACGUGUAGCGGUGAAAUGCGUAGAGAUGUGGAGGAACACCAGUGGCGAAGGCGACUCUUGGCCUGUAACUGACGCUGAGGCGCGAAAGCGUGGGAGCAAACAGG